UACGUAGGGUGCAAGCGUUGUCCGGAAUUAUUGGGCGUAAAGAGCUCGUAGGCGGUCUGUCGCGUCGGCUGUGAAAUCCCGAGGCUCAACCUCGGGUCUGCAGUCGAUACGGGCAAACUAGAGUAUUGCAGGGGAGACUGGAAUUCCUGGUGUAGCGGUGAAAUGCGCAGAUAUCGGGAGGAACACCAGUGGCGAAGGCGGCGACCUGGGCCAAUAUUGACGCUGAGGUGCGAAAGCGUGGGGAGCAAACAGG
rnacentral:rRNA from 1 species